rnacentral:rRNA from 1 species
UACGUAGGGUGCAAGCGUUGUCCGGAAUUAUUGGGCGUAAAGAGCUUGUAGGCGGUUUGUCGCGUCUGCUGUGAAAUUUCGGGGCUCAACCCCGAACUUGCAGUGGGUACGGGCAGACUAGAGUGUGGUAGGGGAGACUGGAAUUCCUGGUGUAGCGGUGAAAUGCGCAGAUAUCAGGAGGAACACCGGUGGCGAAGGCGGGUCUCUGGGCCGUAACUGGACGCUGAGGAGCGAAAGCAUGGGGAGCGAACAGGG